UCUUCCUGAUGCCCCAGUUGCCAGGAAACCCUGCUGUGAGGAGACAGGCUAUCAGGAUCCCUACAAACAGUAAGAAACACCCGAGAGGAGCAUGUGCAGGGCAUCUGAGCAAAUGGAUCCCUGGAAGCAGGAGGAGCUUGCUGACGAGGGCUGGUGAGCCCACAGCUCCCACGUCAGGAAAAGGCACACUGAAGCCAACACAAGGCCCGUUUUGGCCCACAGAUGGCAAAGAACUCUGAGAAAGUAA
rnacentral:lncRNA from 1 species